CCUGCUGUGCGACCAGCAGUAGCCUAGGAAGACAUGCGCCACUGGUAACGGUGGGGUGUGAAGCUCUUCUGACAAAGUAGCCCCCGGAUUUUCCGGGCGGGCGACGGCCGUGAGGCGGUCGUCCCGGAGACUCCCAGCAGCAAUGGGGUCGAGGAG
rnacentral:ncRNA from 1 species